UGGUUGUCGUCAGCUCGUGUCGUGAGGAUGUUGGGUUAAGUCCCGCAACGAGCGCAACCCUUGCUUUAGUUGCCAUCAUUAAGUUGGGCACUCUAAAGAGACUGCCGGUGUCAAACCGGAGGAAGGUGGGGAUGACGUCAAGUCCUCAUGGCCUUUAUGACCAGGGCUACACACGUACUACAAUGGCAGGUACAAAGGGCAGCCACUUAGCGAUAAGGCGCGAAUCCCGUAAAACCUGUCUCAGUCCGGAUUGGAGUCUGCAACUCGACUCCAUGAAGUUGGAAUCGCUAGUAAUCGCAGAUCAGCACGCUGCGGUGAAUACGUUCCCGGGCCUU
rnacentral:rRNA from 1 species